GGAUUAACCAUGCAAUGCAUGGUUCAAGCAGGAUGCACAGCCAACUGGUUUGCAUGCCCUGCCAAAGGACCCUAUCAUGCAAAAUAGGUGUUUGGAGUUCGUUGGUCCCAAGUGGUGAGUACUAACUAGCAGCAACAAACUCAACCCAACCCAGGGUCUACCAGAAGGAAAAAAGCUUGUCAGGCAAUACCUUACAAAAAAAGUGUGUCAUGCGACACAAGUACCCUUGUGACACCACCUCCGUUGUUGCCAGAGUCUCCCUCGACUCCUAUGAAAAGGACACGCCAUCAUGAUGCCUCUGAUAGUGACCCAAGUUACUGCCCUGAGGACGGACACAGACAGCUUCAUCAUCAACGACAGGCCCUCCCAGUCAAGACCACCUCAUAAGAUUGCCUGCAGCAGGUGUUCAGGAGAUGCCCAGGUUGCAGCCGAACAUGCAGCGUUGAGAAGACCAGCAAGUAAGCUCUCAUCAGCAUCAUGCAGACAGGCCCUCCCUGUGAGCAUUCCUAUGAAUGGAACAGUCAGCCACAUGUUGGCAAGUAUCUGGCCAGCAACAGCUUUCACAGACUAAUCAUCAAAUACAGAAGGUAACCCACUUAAAUACUUUGAUAAUCCAAAUGGGAAACAUUAUUUAUGUAAACUGACAUUAUUUGUUGCUUAUUUUCUACUUCUCAAGAGGCAUAUAAUGUCCAGGGCAUAACCUAGUCUAGUGGAACCAGCCUGAUCGCUGUGUUCCCCAUUCUAUUUGACUUCACAUUUUAUGGCAAAGACCUCACCUCCAGCCUCACCUCUUGCCUGCACUCCAACAGUCGUUGAUAGGGAGAACAGAAUUAGGUAGGUUUAUCUGACCUGUUCAAACUUCAACAUAGUACCUGUUUGUAUGUCAUAUAUUUCCUAUCCUAACUGCCAUUGGUAAUAGAACAGUGACUAUGUGUGUAUUAGGGUUGAAUGGGGGGAACCCGGUUACCGAGACUUACCGUCCAAAACCACUCCCUUUUCCCGUUAUAGAUAACUCAGGGAGACUGGUAAUUAUAAAUUAUUUAAAUGAAAAGCAUGACGUGAAAUGGAAUGGAACUUAAAUUAUAUGUGAUGUCUAUCUAUCUUCUCU